AUACAGAGGUCCCUAGCGUUGUUCGGAUUUACUGGGCGUAAAGGGCGCGUAGGCGGCAGGGCGUGUCAAGUGUGAAAUCUCCGGGCUCAACCCGGAAAGUGCGCUUGAAACUACCUUGCUUGGAGUACGGAAGAGGGAAUCGGAAUACAGGGUGUAGCGGUGAAAUGCGUUGAUAUCCUGUAGAACACCGGAGGCGAAGGCGGAUUCCUGGUACGUUACUGACGCUGAGGCGCGAAAGUCGGGGGAGCAAACAGGAUUAGAUACCCUGGUAGUCCCGACCUUAAACGGUGCACACUCGGGGUGGGGCCAUUCACCGGCUCCGUCCCUAAGCUAACGCGAUAAGUGUGCCGCCUGGGGAGUACGGCCGCAAGGCUAAAACUCAAAUGAAUUGGCGGGG
rnacentral:rRNA from 1 species